rnacentral:lncRNA from 1 species
UCCAUUCCCGUUACACGACAAUGAGCAAAGAGGGGCAACUGUAAUAGCCCAAAUUUGCUCGGCCCACAUACAGUUCCAAAAUUAAAAAACUGAAUAAAAAAUAAUAAAUGUCCACAGUCCAAAAUCAACCCAAUACAGUGGCCCAAAUGCUUAAAUGCUAACCCACUAAGGCCCAUUAAAAUCUAAACCCAAUUUGCCUAGACCCUAGCCCAACCACGAAGCGACCCAAUGCAAAACCAGAAGCUGA